rnacentral:rRNA from 1 species
CNGNNNGNGCUAUACAUGCAAGUCGAGCGAGCUCUUUUAACUUGGAAUGUGCUAUUGCUGGCUGGAAUCUUUUUUGGAUAGCGGAGCGAGUGUGAGACUGGCGAGGAAGACCUGCCCUUUAUGUUGCGAUACCACUUGUAACCUUGGGCUACUACCAAAUAUAACGCAUAAGCGCAUGCUCCCGCUAGGAAAGGCGGCUUUCGAGCUGUCUGCUAGGAUUUGCCCGCGACCCAUUAGGUAUUGGUAAGGGGCGACUUACCAAGGAAUGAUACAUAGACGAGUUCCAGAUGAUCGGCCACAUUGGGACUGAGACACUGACCAAACUCCCACAGGAGGCAGGGAGGGGGAAUCUUGGAAUCUGGACGCAUGUAUGAUGGAGCAACGCCGCGUGAGUGAAGAAGGUUUUCAGGUUUUAAAACUCUGUUGUUCUGGAAGAAGGAUGUAAAUAGUAACUGAUUCAUAUUUGACGGUAAUCAAGCAGAAAGUCACGGCUCCUACGUGCCAGCAGCCGCGGUAAUACGUAGGUGGCAAGCGUUGUCCGGAUUUAUUGAUUUAUAAAGCGAACGCAGGCGGGAGAACAAGUCAGCUGUGAAAGCCCUCGGCUUAACCGGGGAAUGGCAGCUGAAACUGUUUUUCUUGAAACUUGAAGAGGAGAGUGGAACUCCAUGUGUAGCGGUGGAAUGCGAAAAUAUAUGGAAUAACACCAGUGGCCAAUGCGGCUCUCUGGUCUGUAACUGACGCUUAAGUUCGAAAGCAUGGGUAGUGAACAGGAUUAGAUACCCUGGUCCUCCAUGCCGCAAACCAUGAACGCUAAAUGUUGGGAGUUUUCCGCCUCCCACCCUUGCAUGUAACGCAUUACGCAUUCCGCCUGGCGACUGCGACCGCCAAGCUAAAACUCAAAAGAAUUGACGAGGUGACCGCAGAACCGGUGGAGCAUGGGGUUUGUGUCUAAGCUCCGCGAAGAACCUUACCACCUUCUUGACAUCUUGACACCUUUCUGUCGACCUAGGAUAUUCGCUUCCUGCGCACCCUGGGAAACAGAGGUGGACGGCGGUGGGUGGCAUGGGUCUGCUCGCCGUCCGUCGAGAUCGUUGGAGGAAUGUAUUGGGUGCCUCUGACAAAUUCGCAGCGAACCA